CAGUCGCCGCGGUAAUACAGAGGGUGCGAGCGUUAAUCGGAUUUACUGGGCGUAAAGCGUGCGUAGGCGGCUUUUUAAGUCGGACGUGAAAUCCCUGAGCUUAACUUAGGAAUUGCAUUCGAUACUGGGAAGCUAGAGUAUGGGAGAGGAUGGUAGAAUUCCAGGUGUAGCGGUGAAAUGCGUAGAGAUCUGGAGGAAUACCGAUGGCGAAGGCAGCCAUCUGGCCUAAUACUGACGCUGAGGUACGAAAGCAUGGGGAGCAAACAGGAUUAGAGACCCGCGUAGUCCCUGUCUCUUAUAC
rnacentral:rRNA from 1 species